rnacentral:lncRNA from 1 species
GGGGCCCCGCCGAUCGGGCUUGUCCCUGCCUGUCAAGGACUCGACAAGGAGGGAGUCCCCAGUCCCGGCAGGGCAGCCUGCGAGCGGGGUCGGUGUUGAGCACCCUCGGUGCGGAAGAGGCACGCGCGAGGAGCUGGGUUCUCCGAAGGUGGAGCCCNGCCACCCCCCGCCGCGCCCCCCGCCAGGCCCCCGCGCCCCCCCCACCCAGGCUACCCGGCGGGUGCUGGGCGCCCCGGACCCCGGGAGGAGGGAGGGGCGCGGCGCCCUCCCGGGCCGAGAGCUGUCACAGAAUCUGACACCCGGAGAGGCAGCUGGUCCCUGGCCAGGACUCCCGAUCCUUCUCAAAUGGAAACAGUUCCUCCCAGGGAACCUGCCGGAAUUCUCCGUGGAAUCUCACUUGGGCUUUGCCUCCUGGCGCAUUUCACCAAGGCCGCAUUUACCACUUUGAGGCAAGGAAGGCUCCAGAUGGAAAGGGGCUUCUGGUGGCAGAACGAGG